rnacentral:rRNA from 1 species
UAGCGGCGAACGGGUGAGUAACACGUGAGCAACCUGCCCCUGACUCUGGGAUAAGCCUGGGAAACCGGGUCUAAUACCGGAUAUGACCGUCUCCGGCAUCGGAUGANGGUGGAAAGAUUUUUUGGUCGGGGAUGGGCUCGCGGCCUAUCAGCUUGUUGGUGGGGUAGUGGCCUACCAAGGCGACGACGGGUAGCCGGCCUGAGAGGGCGACCGGCCACACUGGGACUGAGACACGGCCCAGACUCCUACGGGAGGCAGCAGUGGGGAAUAUUGCGCAAUGGGCGGAAGCCUGACGCAGCGACGCCGCGUGGGGGAUGACGGCCUUCGGGUUGUAAACCUCUUUCAGCAGGGACGAAGGUGACGUGUACCUGCAGAAGAAGCGCCGGCUAACUACGUGCCAGCAGCCGCGGUAAUACGUAGGGCGCAAGCGUUGUCCGGAAUUAUUGGGCGUAAAGAGCUCGUAGGUGGCUGGUCGCGUCUGCCGUGAAAGCCCGCAGCUUAACUGCGGGUCUGCGGUGGAUACGGGCCGGCUAGAGGUAGGUAGGGGCAAGUGGAAUUCCU